rnacentral:rRNA from 1 species
GACCCCAGGUCAGGCGGGAUUACCCGCUG